AGUCCUGGCUCAGGACGAACGCUGGCGGCGUGCCUAACACAUGCAAGUCGAACGGGGCUAGGAAAGCUUGCUUUCCGAAGCCUAGUGGCGGACGGGUGAGUAACGCGUGAGUAACCUGCCUUUCAGAGGGGAAUAACGUUCUGAAAAGAACGCUAAUACCGCAUAACGUACAGUUACCGCAUGGUAGCAGUACCAAAGGAGCAAUCCGCUGAGAGAUGGACUCGCGUCCGAUUAGCUAGUUGGUGGGGUAAAGGCCUACCAAGGCGACGAUCGGUAGCCGGACUGAGAGGUUGAACGGCCACAUUGGGACUGAGACACGGCCCAGACUCCUACGGGAGGCAGCAGUGGGGGAUAUUGCACAAUGGGGGAAACCCUGAUGCAGCAACGCCGCGUGUGGGAAGAAGGUUUUCGGAUUGUAAACCACUGUUCUUGGUGAAGAUAAUGACGGUAACCAAGGAGAAAGCUCCGGCUAACUACGUGCCAGCAGCCGCGGUAA
rnacentral:rRNA from 1 species